rnacentral:rRNA from 1 species
GAUGAACGCUGACGGAAUGCUUAACACAUGCAAGUCGAUGGGGAAGUGGUGCUUGCACCAUGGUAACCAUGGCGGACGGGUGAGUAACGCGUAAGGAACUUGCCUGCGGGACUGGGAUAACAGCAGGAAACUGCUGAUAAUACCGGAUAAGGUCAUUAAGCUGCAUAGCUUAGUGAUGAAAGGAGACGCCUGCGGAGAGCCUUGCGUCCUAUUAGCUAGUUGGAGGGGUAACGGCCCACCAAGGCGAAGAUAGGUAGCCGGCCUGAGAGGGUGGACGGCCACAAGGGGACUGAGAUACGGCCCUUACUCCUACGGGAGGCAGCAGUGGGGAAUAUUGGACAAUGGGGGCAACCCUGAUCCAGCAAUUCUGUGUGCACGAAGACGGUUUUCGGAUUGUAAAGUGCUUUCAGCAGGGAAGAAGGAAGUGACGGUACCUGCAGAAGAAGCGACGGCUAAAUACGUG